UGUUGAUGAUGUGGACAGUCUCAUAGAAGAGCUUUGAACCUCUCCCAUGAAUGAUAUAAGUUCUCAUUUGUCUUUUAUUUGAAGCAUAUAAUCUCACUGCGCAGUUU
rfam:Capsicum annuum cultivar Zunla-1 chromosome 12, whole genome shotgun sequence